AUACGUAGGGGGCAAGCGUUAUCCGGAUUUACUGGGUGUAAAGGGAGCGUAGACGGCAAAGCAAGUCUGAAGUGAAAGCCCCGGGCUCAACCCGGGACUUGCUUUGGAAACUGUUUAGCUGGAGUGCAGGAGAGGUAAGCGGAAUUCCUAGUGUAGCGGUGAAAUGCGUAGAUAUUAGGAGGAACACCGGCGGCGAAGGCGGCUUACUGGACUGUAACUGACGUUGAGGCUCGAAAGCGUGGGGAGCAAACAGGAUUAGAUACCCUGGUAGUCCACGCCGUAAACGAUGAUUACUAGGUGUUGGUCGUCAUAGACAAUCGGUGCCGCAGCAAACGCAAUAAGUAAUCCACCUGGGGAGUACGUUCGCGAGAAUGAAACUCAAAUGAAUUGGCGGGG
rnacentral:rRNA from 1 species